CUCAGACGACUGGGCCACCCGUGGCCCCUCGGAGAACAAGACAUACUUUGAUUUUAUUGCCAUAUCUAUCUAGGUUGUAGGAGGUCAUACGCAGUCCAAACUUGUUAAGCGUCGGCGAUCGUUGUGAAACAGUUAGCGCGAGGAUCAUGUCGCCUGCUGGAGACAGUUUGGAAAUUGGAGACGAUAAAAUGAACACGGAUAUGACACGUGCUCUACGCUUUGAGAUGAAGCAUGAUGAAACGGAACAGCUUUCUGAAGUACACUCUCAAGAAGAUAAGGGUGUAGAUAGUAAUGGUGGACUACCCAUAGACCGGGGAUGGGCCUGGGCAAUACUUGGAGGUUGUUUUCUGAAUACAAUGCUGAUGGCAGGUUACAACAAAUCUAUGGCUUUGUUCCUUGUGGAGUAUAUAGAAAUGUUUGAUGCGUCCACAACCACCACAACUCUCAUAAUGGGAGUCAAAGCAAUGACAAAGAGUAUGAUGUGUAAGUAUAUUCAUGUAUCAAGUUUUAAUCAUUUUACGAACCUGACCAACCAGGUAUGCCCCCAAGACGAUGAGGUAUGAUGUUAUUUUUUUUAUAUUCGAAUAUUUAAUUUAACAUGUAUUCAGAUAGUAACAUGAUGAGCUUUAAGAGCCAUGAUGAACUUUUCGGCUCGACCACCCCAUUGCCGCUUCAAGUACAGGAUAUAAUAAAUCUUAUCCAUCGGUUACAUAAUAUAAUGUAGCAAGCAUUCAGGGCCAAAGACACCCAUCUGAGAAACCUAUCAUACUUAUAUGUCUAAGCAGUGGCCACGUGUCUAAUAACUUUAUACCUCACUUCUGUUUACAAUGCACGUUCUGUUGGAGUUUCUGGGGACGAGGAAGACAGUCAUGCUGGGAGGUUUUCUCAGUGUGUCAGCUAUACUCUCAGCCACCUUUGCACCCAGUAUUAAAGUCAUCAUAUGUGUUCAUAGCGUUCUUGCAGGAAUUGGUCAUUCAAUGAUUCAUGCACCUGCCAUAGUGUUGGUAGGUAAAUACUUCAAGAAACGCAGAGGUCUUGCUACCACCACCGCCAGUACAGCCAUGCGCUGUGUAUCAGGAUUGUUCCCAAUUUUUUCACAAUGUCUCCUCAGUGAAUACGGUAUCCGUGGAACUUUGUUUAUAUUUGCUGGACUUACAAUGAAUAUGUGGGUAGGAGCAUCCCUAUUUCGCCCUCUAGAAUUUGAUAGAAAGAAAUUCACGAUGGCCAACAAGCUACUCCAAACCAAUGACCAAGUGGGUUUCAGUCUUGUCCUGGUGUUGGCACAAUACUUGCUGACCCACAGUCGGAAACAAACAGUUAUAAAGCCGGUGACAGACCCAAACCAACACAAACAUGCCUGAGGAAUGUGAAAAAAAUCUUAAAUGCAUUUGACUUUACUCUGUUCAAGAAGCCCAUGUUUCUGCUGAUCGUUGGUGUGUGUCAUUUUGCUGUGGUGGUGAACAAGUUUCAACAUAUCUUCCUGCACGGUUGAACGAAUUGGGAUACAGUCAAUCGGAGGCAGCAUUUUUGUUGCUCAUCUCUGGAGUUCUUGACUUCAUUAGUAGGAUAUUUUUUAUUGAUUUUUAGCUGAUCUGAAAUAUCUUCGUGUCAGUCAAUUAAUGUCCAUUGGUCUUGUGUUCUUAGGACUGUCAUCUCAGUUUAUCGUGUAUUACACAACAUACCCUUUA
rnacentral:lncRNA from 1 species